GAUGAACGCUGGCGGCGUGCCUAAUACAUGCAAGUCGAGCGAACAGACGAGGAGCUUGCUUCUCUGAUGUUAGCGGCGGACGGGUGAGUAACACGUGGAUAACCUACCUAUAAGACUGGGAUAACUUCGGGAAACCGUAGCUAAUACCGGAUAAUAUUUUGAACCGCAUGGUUCAAAAGUGAAAGACGGUGUUGCUGUCACUUAUAGAUGGAUCCGCGCUGCAUUAGCUAGUUGGUAAGGUAACGGCUUACCAAGGCAACGAUGCAUAGCCGACCUGAGAGGGUGAUCGGCCACACUGGAACUGAGACACGGUCCAGACUCCUACGGGAGGCAGCAGUAGGGAAUCUUACGCAAAGGGCGAAAGCCUGACGGAGCAACGCCGCGUGAGUGAUGAAGGUCUUCGGAUCGUAAAACUCUGUUAUUAGGGAAGAACAUAUGUGUAAGUAACUGUGCACAUCUUGACGGUACCUAAUCAGAAAGCCACGGCUAACUACGUG
rnacentral:rRNA from 1 species